AUAUGAAUCACCUGGGGAAUGUUGUUAAAAUUGCAGAUUCUGAUUCACUAGGUCUAGGAUGAAGCCCGAGAGUCUGCAUUUCCCACAGGUUUCCAAAGAAACUGAU
rnacentral:miRNA from 1 species